CUCCCCGGGCGGCUCCGGCUCCCGCAGCGGGACAGACCCACCCGCCCAGGCUUUUAUCCGGCACCGGCAGCGUCUUCCUUUCCUCCCCCGUCUAUGGUGGCGGCGGCGGCUCCUCGGGCGGCGGCGGAAGACGAGGCUGCGGCGUUGCCAUGAACAGUGGCGGCGGCCUCCCGCCCCCCUCGGCCGCCGCCUCCCCUUCCUCCUCCUCGCUGGCGGCGGCGGUGGCGGUGGUGGCCCCGCCGGGGUCGGGGGUGUCCCCGGCGGGGCGGCGGUAGGAGUGAAGCUGAAGUACUGCCGCUACUACGCUAAGGAUAAGACUUGCUUCUACGGGGAGGAGUGUCAGUUCCUGCAUGAGGACCCUGCCGCCGGGGCUGCCCCGGGCCUCGGCCUCCAUAGCAACAGCGUCCCCUUGGCUCUGGCUGGUGCACCCGUGGCCGGCUUUCCGCCGGGAGCCGUCGCGGGCGGGGGAGCUGGGCCGCCCCCCGGGCCCAAGAAGCCGGACCUGGGGGACCCGGGGACCGGAGCCGCAGCCGGCGGAGGAGGCAGCAGCGGGGGACUCGAUGGACCGCGGCUGGCAAUUCCAGGAAUGGAUGGAGGUGCUUUAACUGAUACAAGUCUCACAGAUUCCUAUUUUAGCACCAGCUUUAUUGGAGUCAAUGGAUUUGGAAGCCCUGUAGAAACAAAAUAUCCCCUGAUGCAGAGAAUGACUAAUAGUAGCAGCUCCCCAAGCCUUCUAAAUGACAGUGCCAAGCCAUAUUCAGGCCAUGAUCCUCUAACAUCACCUGCUUCAUCCUUGUUUAAUGACUUUGGUGCCCUCAACAUCUCUCAGAGACGAAAGCCAAGGAAGUAUCGCCUGGGGAUGCUGGAGGAGAGGCUAGUUCCGAUGGGAUCAAAGGCACGAAAAGCAAAGAACCCUAUUGGCUGCCUUGCUGACAGGUGUAAAUCAGGAGUACCCAUCAAUAUGGUUUGGUGGAACAGAGUCACAGAAAACAAUUUACAGACACCAAAUCCUACUGCAAGCGAGUUUAUUCCUAAAGGAGGAUCAACCUCCAGGCUGAGUAACGUGUCCCAGUCAAAUAUGUCUGCCUUCUCUCAAGUUUUCUCUCACCCAUCCAUGGGAAGCCCUGCUACUGCUGGAUUAGCGCCAGGAAUGUCGUUGUCUGCUGGGUCUUCCCCUCUUCAUUCCCCCAAGAUUACUCCACAUACUUCUCCUGCUCCCAGAAGAAGAAGUCACACUCCAAAUCCAGCAAGUUACAUGGUGCCUUCUAGUGCCUCUACAUCUGUUAAUAAUCCUGUUUCUCAGACUCCAUCUUCUGGUCAGGUGAUCCAAAAGGAAACUGUUGGUGGGACAACUUACUUCUAUACAGACACAACUCCAGCACCUUUGACUGGAAUGGUGUUUCCAAACUAUCAUAUUUAUCCUCCAACUGCACCUCACGUUGCUUACAUGCAACCGAAAGCAAAUGCACCUUCCUUCUUCAUGGCUGAUGAACUCCGACAGGAGCUGAUCAACAGACAUUUAAUAACAAUGGCUCAAAUUGAUCAAGCAGAUAUGCCAGCAGUUCCUACAGAGGUUGACAGCUACCAUAGCCUAUUCCCUCUAGAACCACUGCCACCUCCCAACCGGAUACAGAAAUCAAGUAAUUUUGGGUAUAUUACGUCUUGCUACAAAGCUGUAAAUAGCAAAGAUGAUCUGCCAUAUUGCCUUCGGAGGAUACAUGGUUUUCGUCUUGUUAACACAAAGUGCAUGGUGUUGGUCGACAUGUGGAAGAAAAUUCAACACUCAAAUAUCGUAACUUUGCGUGAAGUAUUUACCACUAAAGCAUUUGCUGAGCCCUCUCUUGUGUUUGCAUAUGAUUUCCAUGCUGGAGGAGAAACUAUGAUGAGCAGACACUUUAAUGACCCUAAUGCUGAUGCCUAUUUCACCAAGAGAAAGUGGGGUCAGCACGAUGGACCAUUGCCCAGGCAGCAUGCUGGAUUAUUGCCAGAAUCUCUUAUUUGGGCAUAUAUUGUCCAACUAAGUUCUGCAUUGCGUACCAUUCAUACAGCAGGUUUGGCAUGUCGAGUUAUGGAUCCAACAAAGAUUCUGAUAACUGGCAAAACAAGGUUGCGAGUAAAUUGUGUUGGAGUUUUUGAUGUUUUAACAUUUGAUAACAGUCAAAAUAAUAAUCCAUUGGCAUUAAUGGCCCAGUACCAGGUGAGUAAGAAUUAACAUGGAUAUUUACUUGUUUUCCUUUAUUAAAGACAAAUUUUGUUCAUUUUAAAGUAUUUCAGUGUUUUAAGCCUAGAUUUUAAUUUAUUUUGGGGUGGUCUCUAUGCAGACUUUGAACAUGUAUCUCCCCCUCCCCUCCCCUUCCUUUCUUUUCUUCCUUUCCUUUCCCCUCUCUAUUUCUUUCUCUCUCUUUUCCUUUCUAUUCUUUUGCUUCUGUCUUGCUCUGUCACCU
rnacentral:sRNA from 1 species